rnacentral:rRNA from 1 species
GGCUUAGAGUUUGAUCCUGGCUCAGAAAGAACGCUGGCGGCGUGGAUUAGGCAUGCAAGUCGUACGAGAACUUAUUUUUUCUUGAAUCUUCGGAAACAGGAAGAGAUGAGGGAAAGUGGCGAACGGGUGAGUAAUGCGUGGGUAAUCUACCCUUUUCAUGGGGAUAACCCGCCGAAAGGCGGGCUAAUACCGGAUGUUAUUAUCAGUUCAAAAGAACUGAUAAUUAAAGGUGGUGAAUAACUGCCGGAAAAGGAGGAGCUCACGUUCUAUUAGCUAGUUGGCAGGGUAACGGCCUACCAAGGCUGAGAUGGAUAGCCGGCCUGAGAGGGUGUUCGGCCACACUGGGACUGAGACACUGCCCAGACUCCUACGGGAGGCUGCAGUCGAGGAUCUUUUGCAAUGGGCGAAAGCCUGACAAAGCGACGCCGCGUGAGGGAUGAAGGCCUUCGGGUUGUAAGCCUCUGUUGCUUGUGAUGAAAGGUCUUGUUUUUAAUAAGGCUCUGACGGUAGCAAGCGAGGAAGCUAUGGCUAACUCCGUGCCAGCAGCCGCGGUAAUACGGAGAUAGCAAGCGUUUUUCGGAAUUAUUGGGCGUAAAGGGCGUGUAGGUGGUUAAAUGGGUUAGGCAUGAAAACCCUCAGCUUAACUGAGGAAGUGUGUCUAAAACUAUUUGACUUGAGUACGGGAAAGGAGAGUGGAAUUCCCAGUGUAGCGGUGAAAUGCGUAGAUAUUGGGAGGAACACCGGUGGCGAAAGCGGCUCUCUGGCCCGAUACUGACACUGAUACGCGAAAGCUAGGGGAGCAAACAGGAUUAGAUACCCUGGUAGUCCUAGCCGUAAACGAUGGGUACUAGGUGUAAGAGGUUUUAACCCCUUUUGUGCCGAAGCUAACGCGUUAAGUACCCCGCCUGGGGAGUACGACCGCAAGGUUGAAACUCAAAGGAAUUGACGGGGGCCCGCACAAGCAGUGGAGCAUGUGGUUUAAUUCGAUGCUACGCGAAAAACCUUACCGGGGUUUGAAAUGCCGGUGGUAGUGACCCGAAAGGGAAGCGACUCCGAAAGGAGAGCCGGCACAGGUGCUGCAUGGCUGUCGUCAGCUCGUGUCGUGAGAUGUUUGGUUAAGUCCUGCAACGAGCGCAACCCUUGUCUUUAUUUGCUAUCAGGUAAUACUGAGCACAAUAAAGAGACUGCCGGCGACAAGUCGGAGGAAGGUGGGGAUGACGUCAAGUCAGCAUGGCCCUUAUGUCCCGGGCUACACACGUGCUAUAAUGGCCUGUACAGAGGGAUGCCAAACCGCAAGGCGGAGCUAAUCCCAGAAAGCAGGUCUCAGUACAGAUUGGGGUCUGCAACCCGACCCCAUGAAGUUAGAAUUGCUAGUAAUCCUGGAUCUGCACGCCAGGGUGAAUACGUUCCCGGGCCUUGUACACACCGCCCGUCACACCAAACGAGUUAAGUGCACCCGAAGUUACUGACUCAACCGCGCAAGCGGAGAGAGGUACCGAAGGUGUGCUUAGUGAGUGGGGUGAAGUCGUAACAAGGUAACCAAGCUCAGU